ACCGCUGGCGGCAUGCCUCACACAUGCAAGUCGAACGGGGUUUGGUUGAAAGCCUAGCUUUUGACUAAACCUAGUGGCGGACGGGUGAGUAACGCGUGGGCAACCUACCCUACAGACCGGGAUACCAUCGGGAAACUGAUGUUAAUACCGGAUACACUUAGUAUAACGCAUGUUGUAUUAAGGAAAGAUUUUAUCGCUGUAGGAUGGGCCUGCGUUCCAUUAGCUAGUUGGUAGGGUAACGGCCUACCAAGGCGACGAUGGAUAGCUGGUCUGAGAGGACGAUCAGCCACACUGGGACUGAGACACGGCCCAGACUCCUACGGGAGGCAGCAGUGGGGGAUAUUGCGCAAUGGGCGAAAGCCUGACGCAGCAAUGCCGCGUGAAGGAAGAAGGUCUUCGGAUUGUAACUUCUGUUAAGAGGGAUGAAAAAUGACAGUACCCUAAAGGAAGCCCCGGCUACUACGUGCCACAGCCCGGUAUACUUAGGGGCAACGUUUUCCGAAUCCUGGGCUAAACCCCCCU
rnacentral:rRNA from 1 species